UUUACCUAUUUUAUUACUAAUUGCGAUUAGUUAUACUUGCUUAACAUUAAAAUCUCGCAACAAUAGCCUUGCCCGUAAUCAAAAUUUAGCUGUCUCGGGAAUCUCUUUUUCUGUUUUAAUUGAAGCCAUAUAGGACCAAAAUAUCCAUAUUAAAAUUACAAAAUUCGAAUGUGAUAACCUUAGUUAAUAUUUCAUCAGAACUUAUUUCGUCUUCCGAUGAGAGUUUGUGCUUUCCUAUUGUGCAACUAAUGCUCCGUCUUCUUCGCUGUGGGAAGGGAGAGGGUUUAGGUCACUUCUUAGAGGCACAAGGAUAAGGAAGUUGAAGAAGAUGAACGAUUCUGAAGCGUGUCAUGCGAUAUGAGUGGGAGAAUGCUGAGACACGUGAACGCAGAGAAGAGGCUGGAGGAGUGGAAAGGGGUAAAGGGGGAGAGGAAACUGGAAAAGGCUAUGAAAAAAGGAAUAAGGGCGUUGGGGAUGGCGAGGCCUAGAAGAUGAUGUGCUCAUGGUGACAAGGGGGGACUUCCAAUUUUAGCAUCAGUAUUUGGUUUUGGUCGCAGUGAUUUGCAAGGUUUCCUAGAUGUUAAGGUGUUUCUAUGUUUAGAAAUUGUCAUAACUAUUUGCUUUUUAACAUCUGUGCAGUGAUGUGUAAGGCUUUCUUAAUGAAUAUUUAAGUAUUAACAUUAAACAUAUAUAAUUAAAUGUACUCAUAUUUUUUUGGCA